rnacentral:rRNA from 1 species
GAGAUGAGAUUUCCAUGCACUUUGUGUGAGAGGCCCCCAGCUAGACCACUGGGUUGAUAGGCAGGAUGUGGAAGCAAGGACUAAAGACUUGUGUAGCUGACCUGUACUAAUAGGCCGAUGACUUAUCAACACACAAC